ensembl:lncRNA novel transcript
GGGACUGCAGGCGCCCGCCACCAUGCCUGGCUAAUUUUUUGUAUGUUUAGUAGAGACGGGGUUUCACCGUGUUAGCCAGGAUGGUCUCUAUCUCCUGACCUUGUGAUCUGCCUGCCUCGGCCUCCCGAAGUGCCGGGAUUACAAGCGUGAGCCACCAUUCCCGGCCCAAACAACUCUCAGAUGUGGAAAUGAAGUUCAGAGAAUUUAAGUAAAUUCCCAAGUUCAUGCAGGAGGAGAAGAAGUAUGAAGUGCUUGCUUGGACCUUUCUACUGUGCUUAUUAUUCUGUCUUCUCCUCAUGGCAAGGAUGGGGUCAUGCUUUGUUGUCCAGGCUGGUCUCGUACUCCUGGAAUCAAGGAACCCUUCCACCUCAGCCUCUGAAAGUUCUGGGAUUACAGGCAUAAUUCAUCCUGCCUGGCCAAGAAUCUUUAAUGAUGCUUCCUGUCCUUGAACAUCAGACUUCAAGUUCUUCAGUUUUGGGACUUGGACUGGCCCCUUGCUCCUCAGCUUCCCAAUGGCCUACUGUGGGACCUUGUGAUCAUAAGCUGACAAACGGUUUAUAUCAGAAGGUGGAAUCGUGGGUAUGGUCGAUGUGGCAGGUCCUAAACAUAAAUUGGGUGAUGAAUGGUCCGGACCUGAUUUCGGUUACAAUAGCUCCACUGAAACCAUCCUUGUGAGGUGACUUCUUGGCCACUAAAUCCAAGGACCCCCUUUCAGUCCUUGUCCUCUCAGCAUAUUGGCAGAAUUAUACCGUUCCCUUUUGCCUAAAACACGCCUUCACUUUGAGGUAGGAGGCAGGACUCAAAUCCAUUGGUGAGGCUCAGACAGCAGACCAAAUUGAGGACUAGCAAAACAGGGACAGGAUGAAAGCAGCUUUCCAUAAAACACACUCACCGGUGUGCCAUGUCAGUUUAUCGUUGCCAUGGCAACACCCAGAUGUUACCGCUCCUUUCCAUGACAACAACCUGACAACCCAGAAGUUGCCACCCUUUUCCUAGAAAUGUCUGCAUAAUCUGCCCCUUAAUUUGCAUAUAAUUAAAAGUGGGUAUUAAUAUAACUGCAGAGGUGCCUUGAAGCUUCCACUCUGGGCAUACUGCCUGUGGGGUAGCCCUGACCCACUAGUGUCUCUGCUACUGCUGUACACUGCCACUUCAAUAAAAGUUGCUUUUAGCACCA